AACGAACGCUGGCGGCAUGCCUAACACAUGCAAGUCGAACGAGACCUUCGGGUCUAGUGGCGCACGGGUGCGUAACGCGUGGGAACCUGCCCUUAGGUUCGGAAUAACUCCCUGACAGGGGUGCUAAUGCCGGAUAAUGUAUUCUGACAAAAGAUUUAUCGCCUUUGUAUGGGCCCGCGUUGGUUUAGCUAGUUGGUAGUGUAAAAGCCUACCAAGGCGAGGAUCGAUAGCUGGUAUGAGAGGAAGAGCAGCGACACUGGGAGGGAGACACGGUCCAGAAUAUUACGGGAGGCAGCAGAGGGGAAUAUAGGAAUAUGGGGGAAAGCAUGAACGAGUAAUGCUGGGUGAGUGAUGAAGGUCUGAGGGUUGUGCAGCUCUUUUACACGGGACGAUAAUGACAGUACCGGGAGAAUAAGCUCCGGCUAACUCCGUG
rnacentral:rRNA from 1 species